AAUUCGAUGACUGAUAAAGGUGAUAGAUUUUUAAUCUGUUUAUGAGUUAAAACUCUCGAGUUG
rnacentral:tRNA from 1 species